rnacentral:rRNA from 1 species
CGGGACACGUGGUAUCCUGUCUGAAUAUGGGGGGACCAUCCUCCAAGGCUAAAUACUCCUGACUGACCGAUAGUGAACCAGUACCGUGAGGGAAAGGCGAAAAGAACCCCGGCGAGGGGAGUGAAAAAGAACCUGAAACCGUGUACGUACAAGCAGUGGGAGCACGCUUAGGCGUGUGACUGCGUACCUUUUGUAUAAUGGGUCAGCGACUUAUAUUCUGUAGCAAGGUUAACCGAAUAGGGGAGCCGAAGGGAAACCGAGUCUUAACUGGGCGUUAAGUUGCAGGGUAUAGACCCGAAACCCGGUGAUCUAGCCAUGGGCAGGUUGAAGGUUGGGUAACACUAACUGGAGGACCGAACCGACUAAUGUUGAAAAAUUAGCGGAUGACUUGUGGCUGGGGGUGAAAGGCCAAUCAAACCGGGAGAUAGCUGGUUCUCCCCGAAAGCUAUUUAGGUAGCGCCUCGUGAAUUCAUCUCCGGGGGUAGAGCACUGUUUCGGCAAGGGGGUCAUCCCGACUUACCAACCCGAUGCAAACUGCGAAUACCGGAGAAUGUUAUCACGGGAGACACACGGCGGGUGCUAACGUCCGUCGUGAAGAGGGAAACAACCCAGACCGCCAGCUAAGGUCCCAAAGUCAUGGUUAAGUGGGAAACGAUGUGGGAAGGCCCAGACAGCCAGGAUGUUGGCUUAGAAGCAGCCAUCAUUUAAAGAAAGCGUAAUAGCUCACUGGUCGAGUCGGCCUGCGCGGAAGAUGUAACGGGGCUAAACCAUGCACCGAAGCUGCGGCAGCGACGCUGAUGCGUUGUUGGGUAGGGGAGCGUUCUGUAAGCCUGUGAAGGUGUGCUGUGAGGCAUGCUG